GGGGUGCUCUUAUAGUGUGUAGGGGUGCCAUGUGAAUACAUCCAUGAAAAAGAACCACGAAAAGAAAAAAAAAUUUCUUGCAAAACUCUAGAUCCAAAAACCCUAGGUUUUGAUGCAUGAUUAAGUUAUUUAGUUUCUAAAAUUAUUUUAAUUACUAAAUUAGAACUUUUGUUAUGCAUAGAUUGCAAGAAAAUAUCAAAAUCCUAAAAUCUACUGCUGGCAUGUCUGCUGGAUCGACUCAGUCCUUGUUUUAGUCA
rnacentral:lncRNA from 1 species